rnacentral:rRNA from 1 species
GAUGAACGCUGGCGGCGUGCCUAAUACAUGCAAGUCGAGCGAACGGACGAGAAGCUUGCUUCUCUGAUGUUAGCGGCGGACGGGUGAGUAACACGUGGAUAACCUACCUAUAAGACUGGGAUAACUUCGGGAAACCGGAGCUAAUACCGGAUAAUAUUUUGAACCGCAUGGUUCAAAAGUGAAAGACGGUCUUGCUGUCACUUAUAGAUGGAUCCGCGCUGCAUUAGCUAGUUGGUAAGGUAACGGCUUACCAAGGCAACGAUGCAUAGCCGACCUGAGAGGGUGAUCGGCCACACUGGAACUGAGACACGGUCCAGACUCCUACGGGAGGCAGCAGUAGGGAAUCUUCCGCAAUGGGCGAAAGCCUGACGGAGCAACGCCGCGUGAGUGAUGAAGGUCUUCGGAUCGUAAAACUCUGUUAUUAGGGAAGAACAUAUGUGUAAGUAACUGUGCACAUCUUGACGGUACCUAAUCAGAAAGCCACGGCUAACUACGUGCCAGCAGCCGCGGUAAUACGUAGGUGGCAAGCGUUAUCCGGAAUUAUUGGGCGUAAAGCGCGCGUAGGCGGUUUUUUAAGUCUGAUGUGAAAGCCCACGGCUCAACCGUGGAGGGUCAUUGGAAACUGGAAAACUUGAGUGCAGAAGAGGAAAGUGGAAUUCCAUGUGUAGCGGUGAAAUGCGCAGAGAUAUGGAGGAACACCAGUGGCGAAGGCGACUUUCUGGUCUGUAACUGACGCUGAUGUGCGAAAGCGUGGGGAUCAAACAGGAUUAGAUACCCUGGUAGUCCACGCCGUAAACGAUGAGUGCUAAGUGUUAGGGGGUUUCCGCCCCUUAGUGCUGCAGCUAGCGCAUUAAGCACUCCGCCUGGGGAGUACGACCGCAAGGUUGAAACUCAAAGGAAUUGACGGGGACCCGCACAAGCGGUGGAGCAUGUGGUUUAAUUCGAAGCAACGCGAAGAACCUUACCAAAUCUUGACAUCCUUUGACAACUCUAGAGAUAGAGCCUUCCCCUUCGGGGGACAAAGUGACAGGUGGUGCAUGGUUGUCGUCAGCUCGUGUCGUGAGAUGUUGGGUUAAGUCCCGCAACGAGCGCAACCCUUAAGCUUAGUUGCCAUCAUUAAGUUGGGCACUCUAAGUUGACUGCCGGUGACAAACCGGAGGAAGGUGGGGAUGACGUCAAAUCAUCAUGCCCCUUAUGAUUUGGGCUACACACGUGCUACAAUGGACAAUACAAAGGGCAGCGAAACCGCGAGGUCAAGCAAAUCCCAUAAAGUUGUUCUCAGUUCGGAUUGUAGUCUGCAACUCGACUACAUGAAGCUGGAAUCGCUAGUAAUCGUAGAUCAGCAUGCUACGGUGAAUACGUUCCCGGGUCU